AUCAGUGGAGGUCAAAGGUGCAUCUGGAUCUACCACGCAGAUAUCCAACUCCCCAUUUCCCUAACUUCAUGAUUUACUUUCAUCACCUGCUUUCGAUCUCCUCCUCACCUUGGUAUGGCAACCCCUUCCUCAGAGAUGUCUGAAGUAUGUGUCAUUGGAUGUCACUCAUUCACUGAUCCCUCCAUCUAUUCAUCCAACAAUGAAGUGCCCAUUUUUGCAAGGGAAACAGAGACAGUUGGGGACAGCUUGCAACAAGUCUCACCUUGUCAGAGUGGAGCUGUUGACUUUGGCAGAUGGGCAUGGGCUCAGAUCCCAACUCCUCAUUCUAGGACCCAAGUGGAUGGAGCAGACACCAUCCUGAACAUUGCUGGCUGCCAUGGAAGAAGCAAAGAAAAAACGCUCAAGAGUGC